UACGUAGGGUGCAAGCGUUGUCCGGAAUUAUUGGGCGUAAAGAGCUCGUAGGCGGUUUGUCGCGUCUGCUGUGAAAACUCGGGGCUUAACCCCGGGCCUGCAGUGGGUACGGGCAGACUAGAGUGCGGUAGGGGAGACUGGAAUUCCUGGUGUAGCGGUGAAAUGCGCAGAUAUCAGGAGGAACACCGGUGGCGAAGGCGGGGUCUCUGGGCCGGUACUGACGCUGAGGAGCGAAAGCGUGGGGAGCGAACAGG
rnacentral:rRNA from 1 species